GGUUAACCGUAUAGGGGAGCCGGAGGGAAACCGAGUCUUAAUUGGGCGUUAAGUUGCAGGGUAUAGACCCGAAACCCGGUGAUCUAGCCAUGGGCAGGUUGAAGGUUGGGUAACACUAACUGGAGGACCGAACCGACUAAUGUUGAAAAAUUAGCGGAUGACCUGUGGCUGGGGGUGAAAGGCCAAUCAAACCGGGAGAUAGCUGGUUCUCCCCGAAAGCUAUUUAGGUAGCGCCUCGUGAAUUCAUCUCCGGGGGUAGAGCACUGUUUCGGCUAGGGGGCCAUCCCGGCUUACCAACCCGAUGCAAACUGCGAAUACCGGAGAAUGUUAUCACGGGAGACACACGGCGGGUGCUAACGUCCGUCGUGAAGAGGGAAACAACCCAGACCGCCAGCUAAGGUCCCAAAGUCAUGGUUAAGUGGGAAACGAUGUGGGAAGGCCCAGACAGCCAGGAUGUUGGCUUAGAAGCAGCCAUCAUUUAAAGAAAGCGUAAUAGCUCACUGGUCGAGUCGGCCUGCGCGGAAGAUGUAACGGGGCUAAACCAUGCACCGAAGCUGCGGCAGCGAACGUAUCACCCAAGACAACUUUACGGAGUUGACGAUUGACGGAGCGAAGCGACGUCAAAGCGUUCAUUAAAGUCGAGUUGGCUUAGGGAUACGUUCGUUGGGUAGGGGAGCGUUCUGUAAGCCUGUGAAGGUGUGUCGUGAGGCAUGCUGGAGGUAUCAGAAGUGCGAAUGCUGACAUAAGUAACGAUAAAGCGGGUGAAAAGCCCGCUCGCCGGAAGACCAAGGGUUCCUGUCCAACGUUAAUCGGGGCAGGGUGAGUCGACCCCUAAGGCGAGGCCGAAAGGCGUAGUCGAUGGGAAACGGGUUAAUAUUCCCGUACUUGGUGUUACUGCGAAGGGGGGACGGAGAAGGCUAUGUUGGCCGGGCGACGGUUGUCCCGGUUUAAGCGUGUAGGUGUGUGUUCCAGGUAAAUCCGGUUCACUUUAACACUGAGGCGUGACGACGAGGCACUACGGUGCUGAAGCAACAAAUGCCCUGCUUCCAGGAAAAGCCUCUAAGCAUCAGGUAACAUCAAAUCGUACCCCAAACCGACACAGGUGGUCAGGUAGAGAAUACCAAGGCGCUUGAGAGAACUCGGGUGAAGGAACUAGGCAAAAUGGUGCCGUAACUUCGGGAGAAGGCACGCUGACACGUAGGUGAAGUGAUUUACUCAUGGAGCUGAAGUCAGUCGAAGAUACCAGCUGGCUGCAACUGUUUAUUAAAAACACAGCACUGUGCAAACACGAAAGUGGACGUAUACGGUGUGACGCCUGCCCGGUGCCGGAAGGUUAAUUGAUGGGGUCAGCGCAAGCGAAGCUCCUGAUCGAAGCCCCGGUAAACGGCGGCCGUAACUAUAACGGUCCUAAGGUAGCGAAAUUCCUUGUCGGGUAAGUUCCGACCUGCACGAAUGGCGUAAUGAUGGCCAGGCUGUCUCCACCCGAGACUCAGUGAAAUUGAACUCGCUGUGAAGAUGCAGUGUACCCGCGGCAAGACGGAAAGACCCCGUGAACCUUUACUAUAGCUUGACACUGAACAUUGAGCCUUGAUGUGUAGGAUAGGUGGGAGGCUUUGAAGUGUGGACGCCAGUCUGCAUGGAGCCGACCUUGAAAUACCACCCUUUAAUGUUUGAUGUUCUAACGUGGACCCGUAAUCCGGGUUGCGGACAGUGUCUGGUGGGUAGUUUGACUGGGGCGGUCUCCUCCUAAAGAGUAACGGAGGAGCACGAAGGUUGGCUAAUCCUGGUCGGACAUCAGGAGGUUAGUGCAAUGGCAUAAGCCAGCUUGACUGCGAGCGUGACGGCGCGAGCAGGUGCGAAAGCAGGUCAUAGUGAUCCGGUGGUUCUGAAUGGAAGGGCCAUCGCUCAACGGAUAAAAGGUACUCCGGGGAUAACAGGCUGAUACCGCCCAAGAGUUCAUAUCGACGGCGGUGUUUGGCACCUCGAUGUCGGCUCAUCACAUCCUGGGGCUGAAGUAGGUCCCAAGGGUAUGGCUGUUCGCCAUUUAAAGUGGUACGCGAGCUGGGUUUAGAACGUCGUGAGACAGUUCGGUCCCUAUCUGCCGUGGGCGCUGGAGAACUGAGGGGGGCUGCUCCUAGUACGAGAGGACCGGAGUGGACGCAUCACUGGUGUUCGGGUUGUCAUGCCAAUGGCACUGCCCGGUAGCUAAAUGCGGAAGAGAUAAGUGCUGAAAGCAUCUAAGCACGAAACUUGCCCCGAGAUGAGUUCUCCCUGAGACUUAGAGUCUCCUGAAGGAACGUUGAAGACGACGACGUUGAUAGGCCGGGUGUGUAAGCGCAGCGAUGCGUUGAGCUAACCGGUACUAAUGAACCGUGAGGCUUAACCUUACAACGCCGAAG
rnacentral:rRNA from 1 species